rnacentral:misc_RNA from 1 species
GUGAGAGCAAUUGGGAAGACUUAUCACAAGAAUCUAGUCCGAUUGCUUGGCUAUUGUGAUGAAGGGUCUCAUAGGCUUUUGAUAUAUGAGUUCAUGAGCAAUGGAACAUUGGCAAAUUUUCUUUUUGCACCUCCUAGGCCAGAUUGGAAUCAAAGAAUCAAGAUUGCCUUGGGAAUUGCAAGGGGACUUCUUUACUUGCAUGAAGAAUGCGAAAAUCCUAUAAUCCAUUGUGAUAUAAAGCCCCAAAACAUACUUCUUGAUGACAAUUUCACUGCCAGGAUAUCUGAUUUUGGAUUGGCGAAAUUGUUGCUCUCAAGUCAAACAAGAACUAAGACUAUGAUUAGAGGAACAAGAGGAUACGUAGCCCCUGAGUGGUUCAAGAAUGUGCCUGUAACAGCCAAGGUAGAUGUCUACAGUUUUGGUGUGAUGCUUUUAGAGAUCA